CAAUUUUCUAUACUUUACAAGGUUAAAAAAAAAAUGAAUAAAAUUCUUAAGUUUGUUUAUACUAUAAUACUUUUUGUUUCCCUAUUUCUUGCCAUAGUAAAAGUUGGGGGAAAGUGUAUUUUUGAUAUGCAUUGUGCCCAUAUUUUGUGUAACCCCGAACAACACAAGGUUUGCAUUCUAGGCAAAUGUUAUUGUAUCAACAGUGAAUUUUAUUGGAUAGGGUGAAUAAUGGAGCAAAGAAUCAAGAGCAUGCAAGAAAUGAUAGAAGAAAUUUUGAUGUAGUGUUAAAAGUUAAAACCUAC